rnacentral:tRNA from 1 species
CCUUGUUUGCAUGGCGUUUGAAUGCCGCGUUCUGGAAGGACGUGAAGUAAAUCUUCCGGCUGUCGUGCCGUCCUAGCCGGCGGACAGCGAC